GAACGCUGGCGGCGUGCUUAACACAUGCAAGUCGAGCGGUAAGGCCCUUUCGGGGGUACACGAGCGGCGAACGGGUGAGUAACACGUGGGUGACCUGCCUCUAGCUCUGGGAUAAGCCUGGGAAGCUGGGUCUAAUACCGGAUAUGACCUCGCGGUGCAUGUUGCGGGGUGGAAAGCCUUGUGCGGCUAGGGAUGGGCCCGCGGCCUAUCAGCUUGUUGGUGGGGUGAUGGCCUACCAAGGCGACGACGGGUAGCCGGCCUGAGAGGGCGACCGGCCACACUGGGACUGAGACACGGCCCAGACUCCUACGGGAGGCAGCAGUGGGGAAUCUUGCGCAAUGGGCGAAAGCCUGACGCAGCGACGCCGCGUGAGGGAUGAC
rnacentral:rRNA from 1 species